rnacentral:rRNA from 1 species
GUGCACGCUGGCGGUAGGCCUAACCCCUGCCAGUCGCACGGCAGCACAGUAAGAGCUUGCUCUUACGGGUGGCGAGUGGCGGACGGGUGAGGAAUACAUCGGAAUCUACUUUUUCGUGGGGGAUAACGUAGGGAAACUUACGCUAAUACCGCAUACGACCUACGGGUGAAAGCAGGGGAUCUUCGGACCUUGCGCGAUUGAAUGAGCCGAUGUCGGAUUAGCUAGUUGGCGGGGUAAAGGCCCACCAAGGCGACGAUCCGUAGCUGGUCUGAGAGGAUGAUCAGCCACACUGGAACUGAGACACGGUCCAGACUCCUACGGGAGGCAGCAGUGGGGAAUAUUGGACAAUGGGCGCAAGCCUGAUCCAGCCAUACCGCGUGGGUGAAGAAGGCCUUCGGGUUGUAAAGCCCUUUUGUUGGGAAAGAAAAGCAGCAGGUUAAUACCCCGCUGUUCUGACGGUACCCAAAGAAUAAGCACCGGCUAACUUCGUG